AAACUCUGUUCUCUUCAAAACGAAUAAAUCUUCGCCUUUUACUAAAGAUUUCCGUGGAGAGAAACAGUUUGAGUUGGUAACCAAUUUUUGAAGUCUGCUUAGGAAGGCU
rnacentral:snRNA from 1 species